GGGAUAACGUAGGGAAACUUACGCUAAUACCGCAUACGACCUACGGGUGAAAGCAGGGGAUCUUCGGACCUUGCGCGAUUGAAUGAGCCGAUGUCGGAUUAGCUAGUUGGCGGGGUAAAGGCCCACCAAGGCGACGAUCCGUAGCUGGUCUGAGAGGAUGAUCAGCCACACUGGAACUGAGACACGGUCCAGACUCCUACGGGAGGCAGCAGUGGGGAAUAUUGGACAAUGGGCGCAAGCCUGAUCCAGCCAUACCGCGUGGGUGAAGAAGGCCUUCGGGUUGUAAAGCCCUUUUGUUGGGAAAGAAAUCCAGCCGGCUAAUACCUGGUUGGGAUGACGGUACCCAAAGAAUAAGCACCGGCUAACUUCGUGCCAGCAGCCGGCGGGUAAUACGAAGGGUGCAAGCGUUACUCGGAAUUACUGGGCGUAAAGCGU
rnacentral:rRNA from 1 species